CCCGCGCCGCCCGGGGGAGGCCGCGCUCACUCCUCCCCCUCCCGACCUGGCGGGCUGGCCCCUAGCUAUCUGCUCUCGCGGGCCGGGAUCCCCCCCACCCCGGGCAGGCUGACUCCUCUGGGCCUCUUAGCCUCCACCUUCCCGCCCCCUUCAAACCGGGAUCGCCGCGUGGCUCACGUGUUGUUAGGACGCCCACCACCCCCCCCACCACCACCCCCAGGACCACCUAAGACUUGAUGAAACCUGCUUUCUCUUUGCUCUAGGCAGCGCCCGAGCCUCCCAGCCGCCCCCCAGCGGAGUGGACCCAGCCCUUCUCUUCCUUCCCCGCCCCACCCCCCUAAUCUCCGAUCCAGCUCUCUCCUCCUCCUCUCCUCCCCUACCACCCCCACCCCGGGCCCAGGACAGAGGCCGAGUGGUGUGGCCGCCGCUGGGAGCCUCCAUAGUCGCCUUCCCCCCUCGGUGCCCGCACUGACACCAUCUGUCAACUUCAUUUAGACAUUGCGGCCCUCAGCCACACGCCAGGGUGCCAGACGCCCAAAGCAUCACUCAGUGAGUCUGUUAUGUGGUGGAGCUGGGGACUUGGGGCCAUGGCGCAUCCAAGUGACUCCAAGGUCAAAGAAAAAUGAAGCAACCCUAAUGAAUAAGAUUGGCCAUGUAACUGUAGGACAGUAAUGUUGGCCUGGCACCAUUAAGUGUAAGAAAGGAAGAUGAACAGAAUCUGCUGAGAGCUUCA